CUGAUAGAGCUCCAGUACAUCAUAUCUGUAAAGUCAUGUGACUCAUCACAGCAUCAGAAUAGACAAGAAUUCACUGUGAGCUUCACAUCUCAUUACAGCUAAUGGACCAAUCAAAUCAGUCCACAGCUUCAAAACAUCCAAUCAGGCGUGAGUCUGGACCUGCUUUUCUACUGAACUCACAAGUUCAUUACCUCACUAUCACUUUGUCUAAACAGGAACGAUGAUCACACUCUUUGUCGCGCUUUACUCUCUUUUUUCUCUCUGCACAGCUGGAAACACUUCUGACAUCAAGGAGCUUCAUGUGAAAACAGUAAAGCGUGGAGAAGAUGUAACUAUGGAGUGUAGCAUGAGCAAGGGCAAAAACAAAAAUAAUUUAGCUUGGUACAGACAGAGUUUUGGAAAAGUGCCUCAGUAUUUUGUAAGAUAUUACGGGCAAAGUUACACAUUUGCAGAGGGAUUUAAAGAUAGCCGCUUCAGUAUGACUGUAAAUGACCAGAAGUUUGAUCUCAACAUUAUCGGAACGAGAGAAGAUGAUGGAGGAGAAUAUUUCUGUGGACAAGUGGAGGGACCUAUGCUAAAGUUCACAUCUGGAACACGUCUGCAAUUUGAAGGGUCCAAUGAGGGUUCAAAGAGCAGUGACGGAAAAGGUUCCAGUUGUACUGAUCAGAUGCAUGUGCUGGUCUGGCUCUCCAUUUUUAGAGUUGGAGUUCUUGCCUUCAUGCUUCUUAUCUUUCCAAUAAUCCUGAUUGUUUUCAAAUUAAGAUCAAAUUAGAAAUUCAGAUACAAAUGGAAGAAAUACUGAUUUAAGGAGAAAACAGUGUGUUAGAUUUAACUAGAGCUAAUUGCUUAUAUUGUCCGUAUAUUGGAAUGAUUUUGGUCUAACUGUAAUGUGGAGGUAUUUACCAGCCAUACUUACAGCUGCAUUUAAGGGCUCCUGAGAGGCGCAGUACAAAAUCGUUCUCCCUAUUGUCUCGGGGUCUAAUCCUAACCAUGCCACAGACAUCCGUGGUCGGAAGUCUAAGAGAGCAAAAUUGGCCGUGCUCUCUGGGAGGGAGGGACAUACUCUCUCUCCCCUGUCAAUCACGGCAACACCGGCCAAUCAUGAGCAUCUGUGGGGGUGUUAUGCUGCCCCCUGAUGGUCAGAAGCUCGAAAAGAUGCAGUUAUCAUUAUUCCCGUGUCUCACAGGAAGCAUGUGAUGGCCUUCGCCCUCCCUGGUUGGUAGCUGUUGUGUGACAGGGGAGACCUCACUGGAGGGCGGGAACUGGCCAUGAAUAAAUUAGGGAGAAAAUCAGGGGAAAAUGUAAAACUGCAUUUAAUUAAAUAAAAUCUAAAGUGAAUGUACAA